UACGUAGGGCGCAAGCGUUGUCCGGAAUUAUUGGGCGUAAAGAGCUCGUAGGCGGUUUGUCGCGUCUGCUGUGAAAACUCGAGGCUCAACCUCGGGCUUGCAGUGGGUACGGGCAGACUAGAGUGCGGUAGGGGAGACUGGAAUUCCUGGUGUAGCGGUGGAAUGCGCAGAUAUCGAGGAGGAACACCGGAUGGCGAAGGCAGGUCUCCUGGGCCGCA
rnacentral:rRNA from 1 species